rnacentral:rRNA from 1 species
AACACGGAUUAGAUACCCUGGUAGUCCACGCCGUAAACGUUGGGCGCUAGAUGUAGGGACCUUUCCACGGUUUCUGUGUCGUAGCUAACGCAUUAAGCGCCCCGCCUGGGGAGUACGGCCGCAAGGCUAAAACUCAAAGGAAUUGACGGGGGCCCGCACAAGCGGCGGAGCAUGCGGAUUAAUUCGAUGCAACGCGAAGAACCUUACCAAGGCUUGACAUACACCGGAAACGGCCAGAGAUGGUCGCCCCCUUGUGGUCGGUGUACAGGUGGUGCAUGGUUGUCGUCAGCUCGUGUCGUGAGAUGUUGGGUUAAGUCCCGCAACGAGCGCAACCCUCGUUCUAUGUUGCCAGCGCGUUAUGGCGGGGACUCAUAGGAGACUGCCGGGGUCAACUCGGAGGAAGGUGGGGAUGACGUCAAAUCAUCAUGCCCCUUAUGUCUUGGGCUUCACGCAUGCUACAAUGGCCGGUACAAAGGGCUGCGAUACCGUAAGGUGGAGCGAAUCCCAAAAAGCCGGUCUCAGUUCGGAUUGAGGUCUGCAACUCGACCUCAUGAAGUCGGAGUCGCUAGUAAUCGCAGAUCAGCAACGCUGCGGUGAAUACGUUCCCGGGCCUUGUACACACCGCCCGUCAAGUCAUGAAAGUCGGUAACACCCGAAGCCGGUGGCCUAACCCUUGUGGAAGGAGCCGUCGAAGGUGGGAUCGGUGAUUAGGACUAAGUCGUAACAAGGUAGCCGUAA